rnacentral:rRNA from 1 species
GACAGAGGGGGCAAGCGUUGCUCGGAAUCACUGGGCGUAAAGGGCGCGUAGGCGGGAUGGCAAGUCAGUCGUGAAAUCUCUCGGCUCAACCGGGAAACGUCGGCUGAUACUGCCGUUCUUGAGGGAUGCAGAGGAGACUGGAAUUCCCGGUGUAGCGGUGAAAUGUGUAGAGAUCGGGAGGAACACCGGUGGCGAAGGCGGGUCUCUGGGCAUCUCCUGGACGCUGAGGCGCGAAAGCGUGGGGAGCAAACGGGG